UGAGAUAUUGUAUUUAAGAGAUAUUCUAGCUCAGUAUAUGUUGUUUCCAUAUAUCAUCAUCUUAACAAGCACACAUUCUCUGCUGCCAACAGUACCAAUUUGUCAACCAAGCAACAAAUAUUCCUUGGUAAUCUGCUAUCAGAUAACAGUUUUCUCGUUGGCAUUUUUAUGAAUUAAAGCUUUCAAGGCUUAAUGUUUUGGUCAAGUUUCAGAUUUGUUUAGCAUAAUCCUGUACUACAUAUUAACAAAUGUUUGGUGUGUCUAGUUCAUCUCUCUCACUAUGAAGAUGGCUACACACUAUCAGCAAUGCACCCCUAUGAUAUACAAGUCUUCAUUGCCAAGUCACUCUGCCAAACAGUGUGUACACCUUUCUUGCAGUGGUAGUACUUUACUGUACUUCAAUCACUUCAGGAGUCUGGAUAUGUCAGCCCAAGGCCAAGGAGAUCAAGUUUGUGUCCAAGGUUACUUAGGUAAUUCUCUAAGAACAAUAGGUUUUUUUUUUUAAAGACACACACUACAU